GUUUAGAACACUAUAGUGGUGUUUACAAUUAAUCAACCACAGCCAGUUCCAGAUUUCUUUGUUCCUUCUUCACUCCCAUUACUUCACUUGGCUAGCCUUUG
ensembl:misc_RNA Y_RNA Y RNA